rnacentral:lncRNA from 1 species
CUCCCCAGCCCUAUUUUGUGUUUUAUUUAGAGACAGGGUCUCAGGGUCUCACUGAGUUGCCCAGGGCCUUGCUAAAUUGCUGAGGCUGGCUUUGAACUUUGAUCCUCUGGCCUCAGCCUCCUGAGGUGCUAGGAUCCCAGGAAUGCACCACCGCGGCUGGCUGGGUCUUCCUCUUAUGUCUGUCCCCUUGGUGGUCCCUUGUGAGUCUUGGGCAGCUGCUGUUCCCCGAGUAUCCAGAGUCCUUCAGGCGUAUCAGGAGGCUCAGAUGGAGCCACAAGGCCAGGAUGUUUGUGCAGGAUGGUGCGCGGCUGCAGGGUACUCAGCAGUUCCCAGGACAAGCUGGCCGUGACCCCCUGAUGGUCCCAGUCUUCCGCAACCAGAAACCUCUUUUGGAACUGUGCCUUCCUCUGGCCAGUGGAAAUUACCAGACCCCCGCCUGCCCCAGCAGGUCAACAGGAGCUGGCCUCUGCUCUGUGUGGGAGAGCCUGGCCCCUCGGUCAGUGCUGCCGCCCGCCCAGUUAGCACCUCGCCCGGACCCUCCACUUGCCUGACUCGCUCCAUCUCAGCCACCACCGUUGCUCCCGGCUCCCCGGGGGCCACCACCCACCACCCAUCGCUUAACACACCCCUCCGUUUCCUUUUCUGCAGGAAAACAAUCCAUUUGUUUUCUGUCGCGUGUUGAGGUGGAGAAGGGAAAACUGGCACCAAGAAGUCACUUGUGAAAACUGACAAGUGAAGUCCUCAUAGAGGGACAGGAGCUUUAAUAAAACCACAUGAGACUUCAGGAAGGUUCUUAAGUGAUGGUUUCAGUGAGGUUCAGAAAACGCCCCGCCGUGAUGCCGUGACACUGUGUUUGCUUUUUGGCAAAUUUAGGUUCUGUGCUUUCCGAGGUGGAGACCCUGGAGGGCGGGGGCAGCCUGUGUUCUCUGGGACGCU